UACGGGGGGGGUAAGCGUUGUUCGGAAUUACUGGGCGUAAAGGGCUCGUAGGCGGCCAACUAAGUCAUACGUGAAAUCCCUCAGCUUAACUGGGGAACUGCGUGUGAUACUGGAUGGCUUGGAUUUGGGAGAGGGAUGCGGAAUUCCAGGUGUAGCGGUGAAAUGCGUAGAUAUCUGGAGGAACACCGGUGGCGAAGGCGGCA
rnacentral:rRNA from 1 species